rnacentral:rRNA from 1 species
GUUGGUGUCCAUAGCGUGGGUGUCACACCUGUUCCCAUGCCGAACACAGAAGUUAAGCCCCGUAGCGGCGACAAUACUUGGGCCUGAGCCCUGGGAAGAUAGCACGACGCCAGCA